AAUCGCUUCUCUGGGCCUGGUGGAAAACAGAGAGCAUUAUUUGCUUUAAUUGAUUCAAAAACUCUAGAGGACCCCAACCUGGAUACCAGGAGACCCCCAGUCCUUCACUCCCUUUCCCCAAUACCUCCCUUUCUCCCGAAAAACUAGAGAAACUUUCCCUCAUGUCCUUCAGGAUGAGAGGUUCUGGGAGCCUGGAAAACAAGAGAGUAUAGGGAGAGAUUUUCCUCUUUUCUAAAUACUUUAAUAGAGUAAAUUAAUGCUUUCCGUACAUGCCAAGCAGCAUCUCCCCCCCCCCCCCCCCCAUAAAAAGAAGGUUCUUAAUGUAGCAGGAAAAGGUAGUAGAAAGAGGCUUCCCCCGCUUUCGGAAAAGUCAGCUUUAAGGUGCAAUAAGGAAGAGAAGAGAUUUACAAUCAUCAGCACCACUACCCCCAUCCCACCCUCCAAAAGCAACAGAUAAAUCUCGGAAAAUCGACAGACACUCCCAGGCUGACACAGAGGAGUGAGAUCGAUGGUGACGGUGAGGGGCCCUUUUGGGCCUCUGGCCUCCAUAGCUGUGUGGUCUCAGUUCCCUUCUCUGCCCGGGGUUUGCAGCACUGUGUCUGCCCCUGUGCCCACCUGCCUUCCUCACCUGACCGAAUCUGCAUUCCGCUAUGACACCCACCCUCCAACAGCUAGGGUCUAAAAUGCAUUGCGUUCACUGAAGCCUCAAGCUUGUAUCUGUGUCUAUAAUCCAGGAAUGGAACAAGAGCCAAGGUAGCCAACGAUUUGUUUAACUUAGUGCAGUCUCAAAGCUCAGGUCCAUAUGUGGGGGGUGGAGUCCUCCCCUAGGACAAAGAGAUGCCCCGUCCCAUUUUUGUCAUUGUGCUAGUAAAAAAUAAAUAAAUAAAUAAAUAAAUAUUAAAAAAAAUCCCUCUGGAGAAAGAUUUUCCUGAACAUGGAGGGGUGGAAAUAAUGACUGUUGAGAUGCUAUGCCUUUUCUGGCCCUUGAGGGAGUUUUUUUGUUUGGUUUUUUAUUUUGAAAGAAUUGAGAUAGUGUGAACUUUAGGGUGUGCUGUAAUUUACUGGGGGGAGGGGGCGCAAGACUUAGAGCCCCAAGCAAUUGGUGGGAAACCAGGUCUCAAUGCAGAAAAUGAAAAGUCGAUCUGGGGGAAGAUUUUUAAAUAAGUGGGUCAGAGGGACGGAGAAGAGAUGAGGCGAUCAAUCUUAGCCCCCUGACAGCUCCCUCCGAUGGCAUCAAAGAAUUUGGCUCUUUGGGAAAGCAGAAGGAACAGCCGAAAUUCCACAUCCCUUUAAAAGGCCUGGGGGUGGGGGGUGUUAGCACAAGAGAAAGGUGAUUCUGGGAGAUCGGGGAAACAGAUGGGAAAUGGGGACAGAGGGAAGGGCGCUGAGUUGGGUGGAAAGUUUGUCUGCAGAACUCCCACGGCUCUGGCCUCCCCUCCCCCUCGGGCUCUCAGCUGCCCAGAAAGAAGCAGGCUGGUUAGCAGAGAAAUGGCAACUCAGCCGGGAGCUGGAACUAGAAACUUUCUGUCAAUGUAACAGCCGCGUGGGUGGUGGAGAAUUGCAAGAGAAAAAAAAAAAAAAGAUUUGGGGGAAUUACCCACAGAGACUGAAGGUGUGUUAACUUGGGCGCUUCUUGGAUUCUACCCUGAGGAGGAGGCGCAUGGUGAGAGGAGAGCUCCACCAGCUGCGCGCUCGUGUAUGCCGUCCGCGCCCGCUUGGACGCCGCAGACCCCGGGGGGCUCUUGUCCCCUCCCCCGCU